CCUACGGGAGGCAGCAGUGGGGAAUAUUGCACAAUGGGCGAAAGCCUGAUGCAGCAACGCCGCGUGAGUGAUGAAGGCCUUCGGGUUGUAAAGCUCUGUCUUUGGGGACGAUAAUGACGGUACCCAAGGAGGAAGCCACGGCUAACUACGUGCCAGCAGCCGCGGUAAU
rnacentral:rRNA from 2 species